UACGGGGGGAGCAAGCGUUGUUCGGAUUUACUGGGCGUAAAGGGCGCGUAGGCGGCACUGCAAGUCAGUUGUGAAAUCUCCGGGCUUAACCCGGAAAGGUCAACUGAUACUGCAGGGCUAGAGUGCAGAAGGGGCAACUGGAAUUCUCGGUGUAGCGGUGAAAUGCGCAGAUAUCAGGAGGAACACCGGUGGCGAAGGCGGGUCUCUGGGCCGAUACUGACGCUGGGGAGCGAAAGCGUGGGGAGCGAACAGG
rnacentral:rRNA from 1 species